rnacentral:tRNA from 1 species
GGAAGUAUAGCUCAGUGGUAGAGUGCUUGCCUAGCAUGUGUGAGACCCUGGGUUUAAUUCUUGGUACUACAA